CGUAAACAGUUUUCAAUUAUUGGUUCGAGAUGGUAGUACAGAAUAUAGAGAAAUUAUAAUACAAAGUUCGACUUCAACAAAUACUUACCAUGCUGAUAAAGGAAGAUGAUAAUGGUGGCUUUCAAUUUAAAUUACGUGCAUUCUUCGCUUUAGUUGCUUCACAUCGUUGGCGUUGACAAUGUCGUGCAGAUUGUGUCGUAAUAAUUAUCUAUAAUUCUUAUUAAAAAUAAGUUAUAAAACCACAAAUAUGUUGCACGUUCAUUUGGAUUGAAAAUAAUUGGUUGGUGGCACAAUGUUUGGACGAAAUAAUGGAUGGAAAAUUAUACAGAAAUAUUUUGGCAUGGAAGAACUUCGUAUACUGGAUCUUCAACUGAUAAAUCGAUAAAUAAAAUAGUAUUCAGGAUUGAUAACGUGAAAUGGUUCGAUGAUGAUAAGCUUUGAUGACCUUAAUUGUGGUGAAGAUGAAAAGUCUGUACCACACAAAAAGGUAGACGAUUAGACCGUUUGGACCUUUGUAUCCUGCUUGAUGUAUUUCGAUAACGUGAAAUUGUUCUAUGAUGAUGGUUAUGCGUUGAUGGCCUUUAUUGGGAUGGUGAUCUACCACGCAACAUGGUGGAAAAGUUGACUAGUUUCGUAUCCUGUGGGACGUCUUUUCGGCAAUUUUUUUAAAAGUUUGUAAAUGAAAGGGUUUUAUUGAAUUGGUUUUUAUAACUUUAUUUGCAAGAAACUCGUUUCUCUUCGAAUAUAUUGUGUUAUUUUCAAGAAUUGAAUUUAUGAAUAGGUAUUUUUAUUCUUUCUUGGAAUGUUUUCAUUUUCGCUUGAGGUAAAAAAAAAAUACAGGAAAUAAGUCAAUUUAUCAAUAGUACUUUCAUGUUUAACACAUUUUUUUAUUUCUUUUUAAAAAAUAUAUUUAAUAAUUUGUUUCUUAUUAUCUAAUUGUGUAAUAUU